UUCCAGGUACUUUCCGACACUCAGGCCCGGGGCGCAAGCGGGCUUCAGUGUUCUCCACACGGGGAUCUGAGUUCUCCGUGGAAGCCGUGCGGCAGGAUCCCUGCUUGACUCCUUGGAGGGAGGCCAUCAUGAAGAGAUUUAUACAUUAAACUUGAAAUGGGCACUGUCAGGUACCAGCCUCCAGAGCCUUGUAAAGACCUCAACCUAGAGACAUGGCCGAGAAAUAUUUGGGGUCUGCCUGGGCCUUACCGUCUGCCCUGCACUGUUCCCCGCAACUGAAGGUGUAUACUCCUUCACUUCUUGGCAAGUGAACGGCUUGAGCCUCCCCAGAUUCUACGUGUCCAUGGACCUUCCCAUCUAAACUUCUUUCUGCACCACACCAACAGCUUUAUUGCCUGUGGAAAGAAGGAUGUCCUUCUGUUCAGUUUCAGGGAUCAGGGAUGAAGACCUUAUAGAAAUCAUGCUUUCUAGAUUGUCAUGGGCUGUUGUCAACAGAGGACUCAAGCCAGUUAACACAGAGCUAAUUAACUCUAAA